GGAGUAAUAUCUGCACAUGCGCAGUUUCAAAACAACACAGGAAGUAAGAAGAUUCAAACCACAACGAUCACUCUCAGCUCGUUUAGAUCGGCGCCAUAAAAUGGGAAUCAAAAGAUGAAGAUUACAGUACAAAUUGAGAACGUGCACAGAAAGCUUUUCUUAAUGUGGACGCAGGUUUACAGCUCAGCCUCUGUCCCAUAUCUGGUUGAGGAGACUGUGGAUAAUCCAGAACAUCACCAGUGGA